GCAUCAUUAACCCAAAAGUAAAGAAAGGGAGUUAAUAGUUUGAGUGGGCCUAAAGUCAAAAGUAAGAAUAUCAUUUUGGGUGGGCUUUUGAAAAGUUAAGAAGUAUCAAUUUUGGUUCGUCCAGUGGAGAAGCAUUUGGGAUAAAUACAUGAUGAUACUUAAUGGAUUUGCCGAAUGGAUUAAGCGGUUGAGGUUCGAUUAAGGAGCUCAAGUUGCUCAAAUGAGAGUUAUUACUGUAGUUAGUGAUUUAUUAUGCAUAUAGCGAGAUGAGAAGUUAUUUAUUAUGGAAAUCCUGUUAUUGAGAUUCGUUUGUCGCAACUCAAGAUGGUCGAUCCAUUAAAGUUAAGGAGUAAGAAUUACGUGUUGCGGUAUAAGGUACUGAAGAGGACAUCGGGAUGGAUUAGUGGUGAGGACGUAUCCGUUAAAGCAAGGUUAUUUAAGUUGAAUAAGUUAGCUUUAAUAGUUAAUUAUUGUACUAAAACUCUUGCUUUAAUUCUAAGAACUAUUAUGGUUUGUAUUAUGACGAUUUAGUUAAUAUUAUGAGUCUUCUAUUUCAUUAAUCUUAGUUUUGAAUAAUAUUGAAUUAUGCGCCUUGUAUCUCUGAAUAGAGAGGUACGACAUGUGACACACCGACUAAAUUAGGAUACCGCUGCUAAUUAUAGAUUAAUUAACUUAUAAAAUUGAUUAGAAGUCGGGGCGUUACAAAAUGAAAUAGAAAAACAAAAAGAAAGGCUUUAGAAAAUGAGCAAAAUACGUAGAUAACCGCGUAAGGCAUAUUCUAAAUAAUUAAAACCGGUUACCUUGACAUCUUCCCACAAUGUGUCUUUUAUUCCUAGCAAAACGUCUUCCCAAUCUUUAGUCACUAUUAAGACUUUUGUGCGGCUUAUCUCGCCAAUAUGAUUCUUGAAUUCUUUUGCCCAUUUUCCCAUGGGUCGGUUGAAGCAAUCCCAUGAAGGAAAUAAUUCAUUUAAUGCUAAGUCUAAUAAAUACGGUUCAGUAUUAAUUAAUUAUGCAAGUUAAUAAUUCAUUGAGAUCAAGUGAACUGUAUGCCUAGCUAGAGGCCACUUCAGUUCAAGUGGAAUUAAUAAUAUUAAUCCACAACUUACUCUUGACUGAACCCGUAGGGUCACACAAAUAGUACGUGAACGGAUCAAUUAUUUAAGUGAAUUAAAUACUCCAUUUAUGGAUAUUCGGAAUUGACGGAUCUCGGUUCCAGUGGGAGCUGAAAUCGUCAAAAGGCAAAUUAUGAAUACUACGGAAACGAUGAUAUUGCCGGAAACGGAAAUAUGGAUCGUAUCGGAAAUAUAAAUAUUAUCCAAGUCAUAGAUGUUGCCGGAAACGGAAACAUGGUACGUAUCGGAAAAUAUUAUCAGAAAUGGAAAUAUUGCCGGAAUCGAAAAUAUUGCCGGAAACGGAAAUAUUACCGGAAUCAGAAAUAUUAUCAGAAUCGGAAAUAAAUUCCGGAAACGGAAAUAUUAAAAAUUUGUUCGAAACGGAAAUUAAUUUCGGAAUUGGAAAUAUUAAAUAUUGUUCGAAUCGGAAAUGAAUUCCGGAAUCGGAAAAUGAAUCGAAAGCGCGGCGUACGAAAUAAACAUCGGACGAGCUCGCUAGACGCAAGGCCCAGCACGAAGCUAGGCCUGCACCUAGCAUAGCCCGCGCAAAGCGAGAAAACGAAGCAGCAAGCCCGCGCCCCACCAAGGCAAGCCCAGCAAAGCGCAAGACGAGGCCAAGGCCAGCCAAGGCGAGGCAGCAGGCUGGCAGUGCCCACGCUUGGGCCGCGUGCCAACGCUGCUGGGCCGCGCGCGCGGACAGCGCCCCUUAUGGGUUGUUCGUGCGUUUCGUUGUGUUCGUGCAUGCUUCGAAUUCUUAGGCGCUUAGGAUUUGUCCGGUUAGAUUAUUUCACUAAAUUCACUAGAGUUAGUCGUUUAACUAAACACUAAAAACAAAGGUUUAAUUUAAGUCUAAUUCUAAUUGAAUUAGAUAAAUUGAAUCCUAGUGGAUUUCUAAGUCCGAUAAUCCCACCCUAUAAAUAUGUGAUGAAUAAUCACAAUUUAUACAUAAUAUUCUCAAGUAUUCAUAUAGUUUUAAGUUUAAACUAAGCUUAAUAAUUUGUCAAAUAAUUAAGUACGAAUAACAUUAAAACCUUAGACUAUAUUCUAAUUAAUUGAAUCUAAGGCGGAUCCGAACGUGCUGUGGACUAUCUACGGAGGGAUGACACUUGGAGUUCUAAACUUGUUCUUGUUCGGUUCGGGAGCAGCUAGGGAAGGCACGCGUCACAUGUAUGUAUCCUAGAUUAUGCUAAUUGACUAUGUGGCAAUUAAUUUGGAUUCCUGGCAUUAUGUUUUUUCCGCAUGAAAUAUAUGUUUUAUAUUUGUCAUAACCUAACAUCCCAUUCAAUCACCCUUGGAACCCCAUGCAUGGAUUUCAACCCUUUAAUUUUGAAGGACCUCUUGGGUUCAUUUUCUUCAUUUGGGUCGCUUGAUUUUGUGACUCGUUAGAUCGCUCUGAAUUUGCCUCUUGAUCUGAUGGCUCUUGUUCGUUUGGGGGAUAAGGUGAAGCAUAUCUUCAUCCUCCAUGAAAUCAGUACACAGGCUGCUGCUUGUUUUCAACUGUUGCUGCCAGAACUACUUCCAGAACUGAUGCUGCUGCUUGUUUUCAACUGCUGUUGCCCGAACUGUAGUCUGCUUUCCGGUUCACCCUGCACCAUAGGAUCAUGCUUCGAAUUUACUUAUAGAUAACAUGUGUACGAGCUUUUAGAGCAGCUAUGUGCCAUAUUAUCCAUGUAAUA